GACGAACGCUGGCGGCGUGCUUAACACAUGCAAGUCGAACGGAAAGGCCCUGCUUUUGUGGGGUGCUCGAGUGGCGAACGGGUGAGUAACACGUGAGUAACCUGCCCUUGACUUUGGGAUAACUUCAGGAAACUGGGGCUAAUACCGGAUAGGAGCUCCUGCUGCAUGGUGGGGGUUGGAAAGGUUCGGCGGUUGGGGAUGGGCUCGCGGCGUAUCAGGUUGGUGGUGGGGUAGUGGCCUACCAAGGCUUUGACGGGUAGCCGGCCUGAGAGGGUGGACGGGCACACUGGGACGGAGACACGGGCCAGACGCCUACGGGAGGCAGCAGUGGGGAAUAUUGCACAAUGGGCGCAAGCCUGAUGCGGCGACGCCGCGUGAGGGAGGGAGGCCUGCGGGUGGUGAACCUCUUGCGCCAGUGAAGCAGGCCUGCCCCGUUUGUGGGUGGGUUGACGGUAGCUGGAUAAGAAGCGCCGGCUAACUACGUG
rnacentral:rRNA from 1 species